GCCGGGGUAUUUUCAAUUUCUGUUUUUCAAUUUAUGUUUCAAAAAAAUCAACUCAUAUUGCAAGAGGUAAGUUGAGCCUCAGGUCACACGCUGAGAUAUUUUUAAUUCCUGUUUUUUAAAAGUCAACUCGUAUUGCGAGAGGCGAGAUGAGCCUCAGAUCACACGCCGAGGUCAUACGAUGAGGUGAGUUGAGCCUUGGGUCACACGUUGAGGAUAAAGAUUGGAGUUGAUUGAAGACACCAGAUUUUGUCUCCCUGAAGUUGCAGUGGAGCUGAUCGAGGAUAUCAGAUCUUACCUUUCUGGAGUUGCAGAAGAAGAGACCACAAACCUUAUCCCAUUGAAGCGGUAGAAUAGUGGAUUGAAGUUGUAGAUCUUAUCUUCCUAAAGUUGCAGAGAAGAUCGAAGUCAUAAAUCUCAUAUCCUUGAAGUUACAUUGCAUCAGAUUGAAAGCUACAAGUCAAAUCUCUGAAGUUGCGGUGAAAUGAACCAAGGCAACAAGAUGCGGUGGACUGGAAAGAGACUACCUGAACAAGAAGAGCACCAAAGAAGUCAAGACUCGGCAAAACCGGGCAAAAUUGACCUUUCUUUCUGUCUUUGCUCUAUUCCCGUUACACAACAAUGAGCAAAGAGGGGCAGCUGUUGCAGGACAAUUUAUAUAUGUAUAUACAUGUACGUAUUUAUGUAGUGUAUUAAUAGUUUAUUUCAUAUUAUUAUCAUUUCUAAUAUAUAUAUAUCGUAUAUGUUUUUAUAUAUAUUAUGUAUAUAUUUUUAAUAUUAUUAGUUAUAUAUUUUUUAUACUAUUUCAUGUAUAUAUUUUUAUAUUAUCUUAUGUAUAUAUUAUCUUAAUAACUAUAUUAUGUAUGUAUUUUUAACACUAUAUUAUGUACAUACUUUUAAUAUUAUUAUGUAUUUAUCUUUAAUAUAUAUGUAUAUAUUUAUGUAGUAUUAUUAAUAGUCAUUUUUUUUAUUUCUAAUAUGUAUAUAUUAUGUAAAUAUUUUAAUACUGUAUUAUUUAUAUUUUUUUUCUUGCAUAUUAUCUUAUGUAUAUAUUUUUUAAAUAACUAUAUUAUGUAUGUAUUUUUAACGCUUAUUAUGUACAUAUUUUUAAUACUAUGUUUAUACUUUUUAUUCUUAUUAUUACGUAUAAAUUUUAAUACACAUUCGUAUAUAUUUAUAUAUCGUUAUUAUUAUUAGUUAUUUUUUUUGUAUUAUUACUAUUUUCAAUAUAUAUUGUAUAUGUAUAUAUUUUUUUAAAAAUCUAGUAUUAUAUGUUUUAUAUAAAUAUGUUCACUACUAUUUUAUAUUUGUAUUAUUACUAUUAUUAUCAUGUUUAACACCAUAUGCAUUACUAUUGUCUUAUGACUAUUAUUAUCACAUAUACAUUGUUAAUGUUUUAUAUAUUAUUUGCUUCGUAUAUUCUUAACUUUUCAUUAUUAUUUGCCUGUGCCGAAUUUAGCAUAAUAGAUCACAUCUUAUUUCAACAUCGAUAUUAGUUUUCUUUUUCUUUUUAUUCUUAUUUUAAAAUAUUUUUCAUUCAUGUUUUUAAUUUCAAUAAAUAAGGUAACGUACCGAUUUAACAUUAAGUCGUCGAUUUCAUCGCUAUGUUGGGUGAAUAUCAUCGGCUCGUGUUAAAAACGGAACGCCCUUCUCAAAAGAAAUCGAAAUUUUAAAAAAUUCUCGUGUUUUGAUCGGAUCACGAUUAAAAUUUAAAUUGAACUUGUAUUCUUGAGAAUUAAGACAACGCGUGUUUAACAAGAUACCAAUUUUGGGCGUUGCGAGGGUGCUAACACCAUCCUCUCGCGUAACCGACUCCCGAACCCUAUUUUCCUCUGGAUUUUUGCGUAGACCCAAAUUCGGCCUUCAUUUUUGCUCAAAAAUAAAUUUUCGUUUCUAAAAAGAAGAUUUAUUAGGUGUCCAAUCACACCUAGAAAAAAACAUCGGUGGUGACUCAUUUUCUUUUUAAAACCGAAAUUCCAUUUUCAAAUUUUCAAAUAAUCGCCUCAACUAGCGACCAAAGUAAAAUUUUUCACGUCGCUAAAGGUGAGCUAUAGAGGCUUUAGCGGUGCUUCCUAUAAACGCCGCAAUAUAUCGAGAAUUACCGGCGUUUUUCCUGAAACACCGCAAAAGGUGAAGCAAAUAGCGACGGCUUUUUAAAAAUGCCGUAAAAGUUUUGAGCAAAACGACGUCAUCUUUUGGUGAGCUAUAGGGGCAUUAGCGGCGUUUUUUCUGAAACGCCGCAAUAGGUGAAGCAUUAGCGGCGUUUUAAUAAAAAAAUUAUGUUAUUUUAAGGUUUAUUGUUAUGAAUUUUAGGUUUAAUGACUAUGGUUAAUUUAGAGUUUUAGGGUUUAUGAUAUAAUGUUUAUUAUUUUAGGUUAUAGGUUUAUGUUUUAGAGUUUGAGUUUUGGGGUUUACUGUGUUUUAGGUAUAUUAGCUAGGGUCGAAUUAACAUUAAUGUUUAUGGUUUUAGGGGUUAUGCUAUUAGGGAUUAGAGGUUAUGAUUAAUGAUAAAAAAUUAAAUUAUUUUAGGGUUUUGGUAAGCAUUAAGAUUCUAUUUUAAUUGCUUUUGUCCCUUGUAAUAUAUAUAUUAUAAUUAGAACUUGUAAUAUAUAUUAAGAUUCUAUAUAUUUAGGGUGUAAGUUUAGGUUUAGGCUUCAAGUAAAUGAUACUAUUAGAACUGAAGAACAUUUGGAUUUUACUGAGAUUCAUGCCAUUUUGUACUAUACCCAUAUUAUUUAAUAUAAGAAUAUAAACAUAUGUGUUUUAAUUUGUACUACACUAACAUUGGCCACACAAAUUCCCAAAAAUAUGUCCAGGAUUAUGGUUUAGGGUUAACAAUUUUUAAAGUUUAUAGUUUGGGCUUUAUGGUCUAGGAUUUAUGGUUGGUUUAGGGGUUACUGUGAACGGUUUUGGGGUUUAAAGUUUGGGGAUAUGGUUUAGAGUUUAGGGUUUAUGGUUUAGGGUUGGGUUUAGGGUUUAGGGUUUAAGGUUUAGGGUUUAGAGUAUAAUUUUGGAUUUUAAUUUAGAAGAUAAAUAUAAAUAAGAUAAAUAUAUAAAUUAUUAUUUUAAAAGAAUAUAUAUCAAAAUGGGUUAAAUCCCAAAUAGCUAAGAUGAAAAAUGGUUUAGUGUGCAAUUGUGUACACGAACUAUAAUUUGAUCUAGAUCUUGUAAAAUAUUAACACAAUUAUUGAUAUAAAUAGCAUCAUGUUUUUAUUUCAUUAAUUUAUAUAUUGCAUACAUAAUAUUUAUAUUUAUUCAAUAUAAAAAUAUAUUGAUGUAUUUUAAAAUGUGUAUUAAUUUAUAUAUUGCAUACACCUAAUAUAAAUAUAUGAAAUAUAUAUUUUGUACUACGCUAACAUUAUUUGGAUAUAAUUUAAAAGAAAUUCUAAAUAUAUAGUUUUAAAUUUUGAUCAAUUUUUAAAAAACAUUUUUUAUUAUCAAAGGUAUUAGCUGCUUUUAUAUAUAAAACGCUGCAAAUGGUAGGAAAUGGCGACGCUUUUAACACAACGCCACAAAUUUUAAUUGUACAUUAAAGAAAAAUGGCGUUGUUUCAUAUGAAUAUUAGAGGCGUUUUUAUAAAAACCGCCACAAAUUGUAAUCGAAUUUAAUUUAGAACGGGGUCGUUUUGUAGUGUAGAUAGAAGUGACAUUAGUGGCGCUUCGCGUAAAACGCCGCAAAAGGUCUCAUUAGCGGCGCUUUGAUGAAAACGCCACAAAUUCUCCUUAUAUGAAACGGCGUCGUUUUUUCUCCCUUGAAGUUUAUCUCCUUUAGCCGAAAUCAGUUCAGUUUUUUGCUAAGUCAUUUCCCUAUUUCGGUUCUUACUUUCCUAAAUCCCUAAAACAAAGAAAUCCCUAACUUUUUUCCCUUUCCUCCCUUAAUACCCCAAACCCAAAAUCCCUAACAUUUUCCCCAAAUCUUGUAGCACCCCAAACCCGGCCCAGAAGUUAUGGCCGGAUCCGGCAUGCCACAUUAAAAACGUAAAAAAAAAAUUUCAUUCUAAGUCCAGAAAAUCGUACUUGAUGUUCAAAAGAUUAAUUCAUUAAGGGUUAAAGUGAAUGGAAGCUGUGCACCAGGUAGGAAACCGGAAAAGAGGUGGUGAGUCCAUCGGACUGCUUAAGUACCAAGCUCUCUUCGGAUCCAAUCCUAGAUAUGCAUACCGCCAUUGCCACACCUUAACGUCAUGGAUAUUUCUAAGAAACCGAUUCGAUUAAGUCAUUUUUAGGAAAAGUGAUUAAUUUUGGAAAAUACUUUCAUUGCGGAAGCUUUGCUUGUUGUCGUGUUAUUUUGAAAGCAACUGUUGUUUUUGAAAACGCGCCCUAAAGCUAUCCAAUUUCAACAGUUAAAAUAAGUAUUACCUAUCUUAGUAAUACAUAUUAAAAACCAUCAAAAAAUAAAUAAGCGGCCUAAUUACAUUUAAAAGCCCAAAACCUCAAACGUAAUUAAAAGGAUGUCCAGUUCACCAGAAGAAAAUCAAAUUUUCAGAACGGGUGGCCACUCCGAAUUCCCUCACAGCUCUAAGCCCACUAUGGUUGGGGAUUUCUUGCGUGGAUGAAAAUAAAAGGGGUGAGUUUGGGGAAACUCAGUGUGUAAGGAAAACCCUUUCAAAGCCCAAGUCAGCUUAAGCCUAUUGGGCCUAAGCCCAUUCAGGUAACAGUGGUACUGGACCAAAGCCCUUUUCAGAUUACAAUAAACUGGGCCUUAGCCCCUUAUUCAGAUAACAGUAUGGCCCAUAAGCCCAUUUCAAAAUACAUGCAACAUCAGUAAACAUAUGCAAGCCCAUUUGGGGAGAUUACUCAACCUACCAACCACUACACUCCACCCAUACCAGCCAUACACUCCAUGUGGGGAUAGCUCAACCCACCCAGCCCAAUACUCCACAGUUGCAGCAUUGCUGCUCAGUUAACAGUAAAUUGAGGCAAAGCCUCCAGUACGUGGACAAGCCUUUUCAGUACUUCCUCCGUCAAUAUCCCAAUCCCAUGCAUCAGAUAAUAGCAACAUGGCAUGCAAUAAAUAACAACAGUCAAACAUGCAUUUAAGUCAAUUUAACCCUAGGGGUAUUUCGGCAAUUUAUCUCCUAGGGGUAAAACUGUAAAUUUUCCAUUUUUAAAGGUAUUUCAGUAAUUUAUCUAUUUUAGGGUUUUUCAUGCAUAUUCCUACUUUUCACGUACUACAGAAUCACGUACCGAGGGUUCUUAUCGAAUUGGGCCCGUUGGCCCAUCAUUCCAAUUUUGGCCCAUUAAGCCCAAAAAUAUCGAGGGCACAGAAAUCAUGCACUUUGCAGUCCAAACAUUGCAGCUUACCAAAAACAUUAAUCGAAUUACCUCACGAGCAUUCACACACUCGCAAAUCUACAAAAUACCGGUUUUCGGCAUUUCGAAUUUUCGACUUUUGCCGAUCUAGACUAAGAAAAAGGGUGUUAGUUACACACAGUUUGCGACGAUAUGCUGACGAGAUCCAUACACGAACCGCCUACAAUUGGAUUACUAACACGUUAAUCUAACUAUUCAAAUAUGAACUACGUAUUAACCCCUUACAAUAUUCCACCAACCACACCUACAGAUCAUAGUAAGCUUAUAAGAAAUCAAUAAGCAACUCAUUAGCAAAUUUUUGUCAAUGUUUACCACAUAAUCAUAAUUUCACUGCAAGCUGUCUUCCUGAGCAACAGUUACUAAAUCAUUUAUAACUGGAGCUACGAAACUCCAAAUCAAGUGACGUUAAUUUUCCCUGAAAAUAGACUCAUAUAUCUUAUAUCCAUAAAAUUUUCAGAAUUUUUGGUUUGGCCAAUCAAUACCAUAUUUUUCUUAAAGUUUCCCAUGUUUCACUAUUUGACUAAUCUGACCACUCUUCAUUACGAAUCAAAUUUCUCGUUGUACAGAAUUCAAAAUAUAUUCUCGUUUAUUCCAUUUGAAACUAGACUCAUCAAGCCUUAAUUACAUAAUUUAUGCAGCUUCUAACUCAUCUCCCAAAAUUUAUGGUGAUUUUCCAAAGUCACGUUACUGCUGCUGUCCCAAGCAGAUUUAUUACCAAAUCACUCUUUCACACAUAACUUGCAUGCAUGUUAUUUAAACAUGUAUAUCACCAAUCAAUCAUCACAUAUCUAUGAGUUUACUUAAGUAUAGUCUCCAUUUCAUCAUUUUAAAGCACAACAUGUUAGCCGAUUUUUCCCCUUAGCAUCUAAGGCACAUGCAUGCUCAUUUGUUUGGCUCAACUCCACCUAUCUUCCAUUUUUCAUCAAAAGAACAUGAAACAACAACCAUUCCCUUCAUUUUAAUUCAUGACCAAAUGCUCACAACACAACCAAAAACCAAAAUAUGCUUCAAGAGUUAAGGUAGAAUCAAGAAGAACUCAUGAACCUCAAAAUAGAAGCAAGGUACCAAGAACUUACCUUCAAUUUUCCUCCUCCUAAUGACCGAAUACUCAAGAGCUUUCUCCUCUCCUUUCUCUUCUCUAACUUUCAGCUAUGAUGAACAAAGAUGGACAAAACUUUGUUC
rnacentral:lncRNA from 1 species